rnacentral:rRNA from 1 species
CAUAGGUUAAUGAGGCGAACCGGGGGAACUGAAACAUCUAAGUACCCCGAGGAAAAGAAAUCAACCGAGAUUCCCCCAGUAGCGGCGAGCGAACGGGGAGCAGCCCAGAGCCUGAAUCAGUGUGUGUGUUAGUGGAAGCGUCUGGAAAGGCGCGCGAUACAGGGUGACAGCCCCGUACACAAAAAUGCACAUGCUGUGAGCUCGAUGAGUAGGGCGGGACACGUGGUAUCCUGUCUGAAUAUGGGGGGACCAUCCUCCAAGGCUAAAUACUCCUGACUGACCGAUAGUGAACCAGUACCGUGAGGGAAAGGCGAAAAGAACCCCGGCGAGGGGAGUGAAAAAGAACCUGAAACCGUGUACGUACAAGCAGUGGGAGCCUCUUUAUGGGGUGACUGCGUACCUUUUGUAUAAUGGGUCAGCGACUUAUAUUCUGUAGCAAGGUUAACCGAAUAGGGGAGCCGAAGGGAAACCGAGUCUUAACUGGGCGUUAAGUUGCAGGGUAUAGACCCGAAACCCGGUGAUCUAGCCAUGGGCAGGUUGAAGGUUGGGUAACACUAACUGGAGGACCGAACCGACUAAUGUUGAAAAAUUAGCGGAUGACUUGUGGCUGGGGGUGAAAGGCCAAUCAAACCGGGAGAUAGCUGGUUCUCCCCGAAAGCUAUUUAGGUAGCGCCUCGUGAAUUCAUCUCCGGGGGUAGAGCACUGUUUCGGCAAGGGGGUCAUCCCGACUUACCAACCCGAUGCAAACUGCGAAUACCGGAGAAUGUUAUCACGGGAGACACACGGCGGGUGCUAACGUCCGUCGUGAAGAGGGAAACAACCCAGACCGCCAGCUAAGGUCCCAAAGUCAUGGUUAAGUGGGAAACGAUGUGGGAAGGCCCAGACAGCCAGGAUGUUGGCUUAGAAGCAGCCAUCAUUUAAAGAAAGCGUAAUAGCUCACUGGUCGAGUCGGCCUGCGCG